rnacentral:rRNA from 1 species
CAGAUUGAACGCUGGCGGCAGGCCUAACACAUGCAAGUCGAGCGGUAGCACAGAGAGCUUGCUCUCGGGUGACGAGCGGCGGACGGGUGAGUAAUGUCUGGGAAACUGCCUGAUGGAGGGGGAUAACUACUGGAAACGGUAGCUAAUACCGCAUAAUGUCGCAAGACCAAAGUGGGGGACCUUCGGGCCUCAUGCCAUCAGAUGUGCCCAGAUGGGAUUAGCUAGUAGGUGGGGUAACGGCUCACCUAGGCGACGAUCCCUAGCUGGUCUGAGAGGAUGACCAGCCACACUGGAACUGAGACACGGUCCAGACUCCUACGGGAGGCAGCAGUGGGGAAUAUUGCACAAUGGGCGCAAGCCUGAUGCAGCCAUGCCGCGUGUGUGAAGAAGGCCUUCGGGUUGUAAAGCACUUUCAGCGGGGAGGAAGGCGGUAAGGUUAAUAACCUUGUCGAUUGACGUUACCCGCAGAAGAAGCACCGGCUAACUCCGUGCCAGCAGCCGCGGUAAUACGGAGGGUGCAAGCGUUAAUCGGAAUUACUGGGCGUAAAGCGCACGCAGGCGGUCUGUCAAGUCGGAUGUGAAAUCCCCGGGCUCAACCUGGGAACUGCAUUCGAAACUGGCAGGCUAGAGUCUUGUAGAGGGGGGUAGAAUUCCAGGUGUAGCGGUGAAAUGCGUAGAGAUCUGGAGGAAUACCGGUGGCGAAGGCGGCCCCCUGGACAAAGACUGACGCUCAGGUGCGAAAGCGUGGGGAGCAAACAGGAUUAGAUACCCUGGUAGUCCACGCCGUAAACGAUGUCGAUUUGGAGGUUGUGCCCUUGAGGCGUGGCUUCCGGAGCUAACGCGUUAAAUCGACCGCCUGGGGAGUACGGCCGCAAGGUUAAAACUCAAAUGAAUUGACGGGGGCCCGCACAAGCGGUGGAGCAUGUGGUUUAAUUCGAUGCAACGCGAAGAACCUUACCUGGUCUUGACAUCCACAGAACUUACCAGAGAUGCUUUGGUGCCUUCGGGAACUGUGAGACAGGUGCUGCAUGGCUGUCGUCAGCUCGUGUUGUGAAAUGUUGGGUUAAGUCCCGCAACGAGCGCAACCCUUAUCCUUUGUUGCCAGCGGUCCGGCCGGGAACUCAAAGGAGACUGCCAGUGAUAAACUGGAGGAAGGUGGGGAUGACGUCAAGUCAUCAUGGCCCUUACGACCAGGGCUACACACGUGCUACAAUGGCAUAUACAAAGAGAAGCGACCUCGCGAGAGCAAGCGGACCUCAUAAAGUAUGUCGUAGUCCGGAUUGGAGUCUGCAACUCGACUCCAUGAAGUCGGAAUCGCUAGUAAUCGUAGAUCAGAAUGCUACGGUGAAUACGUUCCCGGGCCUUGUACACACCGCCCGUCACACCAUGGGGAGUGGGUUGCAAAAGAAGUAGGUAGCUUAACCUUCGGGAGGGCGCUUACCACUUUGUGAUUCAUGACUGGG